GGACUUUUAUUUUGGUCUCCGGGAGUGUGGCGUCAUAAGUCUGCGACACGUUCCUGCAUCUGUUGUGAUUCUGCUGAAGAAAGGACAAACACACGGAAAGCCUUCUGGGGAAGUGACUGAGAGUCAAGUGACACUAUUAUAAAGAUGGCGUUUAUUAAAGUGGAGAGUGAAGACAUGAAGAUUGAAGAAACAUUCAGAGUGAAACAUGAAGAUACUGAGGAACAAACAAAGAUGGCGUUUAUUAAAGAGGAGAGUGAAGACUUUAGGAUUGAAGAAACAUUCACAGUGAAACAAGAAGAGACUGAGGAACAAACAAAGAUGGCGUUCAUUAAAGAGGAGAGUGAAGACAUGAAGAUUGAAGAAACAUUCACAGUGAAACAUGAAGAUACUGAAGAACAAACAGACCUGAUGCUAUUGAAAGAGGAGAGUCAAGAUCUGAAUGAAAUGGAAAAGAAAGAUCAGUACAAGACACAUCAUGAUUUCAUAACUGAAGAAAAAUCUUUUAGUUGCUCAAAGACUGAAAAAACUACCUCACGAAAAAGGUAUCAAAAGUCAGGGACUGUAGGUAAUUUCACAUGCCAUCUGUGUGGACUAAGUUUCAAAAAGCAUGGAAACCUUGAAGUCCACAUGAGAGUUCACACCAGAAGGAAGCUUUACCCCUGCCAAGAGUGUGGAAUAAAUUUAAAUCGAAAAGAACGCCUUAAAGUCCACAUGAGAAUUCACACUGGAGAGAAGCCUUUCACAUGCCAAGAGUGUGGAAUAAGUUUCACUCAAAAAGGACACAUGAAUGGUCACAUGAGAAUUCACACCGGAGAGAGGCCUUUUACCUGCCAACAGUGUGGAAAAUGUUUCACUCAAAAAUCACACCUGAACAGUCACAUAAGAAUUCACACUGGAGAGAAGCCUUUCAGAUGCCAACAAUGUGGAAUAGGUUUCACUCAAAAAGGACACUUGGACAGGCACUUGAGAAUUCACACUGGAGAGAAGCCUUAAAGUGCCCCAUUAUGGAUUUUUGAAAAUUACCUUUCAUGCAGUGUGUAAUGUGGCUGUAUGUGAAUGUAAACAGACCACAAAGCUGUAAAGUGCAUCAUAAAUAAAGUUAUUGUCUCUUAAAAGAAAGAGUCGACUUAACACAAGUCCUCGAAUCCCAUUUCUGCAAAUUUCACACGUCACAAGUUAACACGUUUACAUAAUGCCUGCCUACGUUCUGUGUGGACAUCCUGCGAAAACUUCAACCCCCUCAAAUGCUGUAGGUCAUUCGUGUGGAUAACAUGUCGACAAGACGCUGUGCUCAGGAAAUUUGGUUUAUUUUCACUGCCAAAGCGUGAGGCUGUAAAGGAUCAGUGAUUAAAGAUGGGACAGUACCUGCUUUAUUUAGACCAACUUGCUCCUUAAAAUUACCUACCUGAUGGCGUUAAAAGAGGAGAGUCAAGAUCUGAAUGAAGUGGAAGAGAAAGAUCAGAAAAAGACACGUAAUUUCACGACUGAAGAAAAAUCUUCACAGACUGAAAAUACUGCCUCACGAAAAAAGUCAGAGACUGCAGGUAAUUUCACCUGCCAUCUGUGUGGACUAAUUUUCAAAAAGCAUGAAAACCUUGAAGUCCACAUGAGAGUUCACACUGGAGGAAAGUUUUACCCCUGCCAAGAGUGUGCAGCAAUUUUCAAUGAUUCAGGAAGCUUUAAAGUCCACAUGAGAAUUCACACUGGAGAGAAGCCUUUCACCUGCUCUCAGUGUGGAAAGAAUUUCAGGCAAAAAGGAAACCUACAAAAGCAUAUGAGAGUUCACACUGUAGAGAUGCCUUACACAUGCCAACAGUGUGGAUUGGGUUUCAGGCAUAAAGGAAACUUUAAAAGCCACAUGAGAACUCACACUGGAAAGCCGCCUUACAUCUGCCAACAGUGUGGAACAACUUUCACUCAGAAAGGAAACCUUACAAAACACAUGAACAUUCACACAAGAAAGAAUCCUUGCAUAUGCCCUCACUGUGGAAACAGUUUCAAUCAAGAUGGAAACCUUAAAGUCCACAUGAGAAUUCAUUCUGGAGAAAAAUAGAAUAAACAUUUGUACAUUUCUAAAGUUGUUCAUAUGUAAAACUGAUUUAGAAACUGUACAUAUGCCCUUGAUGUACAUUAGUGUUUAUGCAAAUGCAAGUACGCAAGACUGACAGUUUACGUACUGAUACGCUCAUAAGAUCACGUGAGAUCUGUAAAUGAUAUGAAACAUGUUUAUGCAUGAUGAAGAGAUUAGACUUUAGGGAAUGCAGAAAGCUUUGUAUAAUGAUUUAUUCAUGUGUUUACACAUCAAAUAUAACAGGUGUUGAACACUGUAGUGUGUACUGCAGUGUAAGUGCUGACUGGUGAGGGAAUAGACGGCUGUCUUCUCUGACACACAUGGAGUCUUUAACUGCUGUGCACCUGAUGUGAGCUUCAGUGCAGGGUAGAACCAGUUCAAAUUAUCACUAGAUCCCACACAGAACACAUGAGUGAAGGGAUUUAAUGUAACCCACUGGAAUCACCUGACUAAGGCAUUUAUAGAUGUUUAUUCACUUCAAAACUAAUAAAAUACUCUUCUUUAAAACAC